UAUAAAAACUAUAAAUUUUAAGUAAUUUUUAUAAAUUCUAUAAAUUUUUACAAAAUUUAAACGUUUUAUAUCAUAAAACAUGUUAAAACUUUAAAAUUAACUUUUAUAUUAACACUAUAUUCAAGAAAAUCUCUUAAGAAACCCGCUAAGUUUCUAACAACAUUUGGCAACACCAUUUAUUGGCAUAAUCAUUCUGUGUGAAUGACAAGUUUGUAAAAAGAAGAGCAAAUGGACCACAAAACAACCAAGAACUAAAUUUCACUAGAAACACAUAAAAAACAAGGCGAAAUCUUAACACAAACAAACAGUUCAGAUGAAUUAAAAAUCUCUCGGAGCUAGCACCACCUGAAUUGGAAUGAUGAUGAAAAAACAAAAUUUUUUUUUAAAAAGCAACUAAAACAAACAAAUCUUAAAAACAAAAUCCCAUAAAAAAAACCUAAAAAUACUGUAAUUUAAAGAAAUGGCCAAAAAUCUCUCAAAGGCGGUUCUGCCUUAAAUGGAACGAAUAUAUAAAGUAACCAAAUUUUGUUAGGAAAACAACUACAACAACCUUAGAAAUUCCAAUAAAACCUCGAAAAUAUAGCAAUUUGAAAUAUAAUGUUUGUGUGACUAAGAAACAAAAAACCAAUAGCUUUCCCAGAUCAUUUUAAACGAUCUUAAUUUACUGCCUUAAUAAUAAUAUAAAUGCCAACAAAAAGGAAUUUAGCCCGGCAAUUCAGUACCUUAA